UAAUCUCAAAUCAGGCAGGAUCACCCGCUGAACUUAAGCAUAUCAAUAAGCGGAGGAAAAGAAACUAACAAGGAUUCCCUUAGUAACGGCGAGUGAAGCGGGAAAAGCUCAAAUUUAAAAUCUGGCGAGUAGUCUCGUCCGAAUUGUAAUUUAGAGAUGCAUUUUAGUACUAAGCCCUCUCUUUAAAGUCCUUUGGAACAAGGUAUCAUAGAGGGUGAGAAUCCCGUAUGAGGAUAGGGCUUUAGUGCAUGGAAAGUGCAUUCAAAGAGUCGAGUUGUUUGGGAUUGCAGCUCAAAAUGGGUGGUAAAUUUCAUCUAAAGCUAAAUAUGAGCGAGAGACCGAUAGCGAACAAGUAGAGUGAUCGAAAGAUGAAAAGAACUUUGAAAAGAGAGUUAAAUAGUGCGUGAAAUUGUUGAAAGGGAAGCGCUUGUGAUCAGACAUGCCUUUAUAGGAGAUGCCAUUGUUUCGGCAUUGGCAGUAUUAUCCGAAUUGGCAGGCCAGCAUCGGUUUCAGUUACUGGAUAAAACUGGAAGAAGGUAGGCUCUCUUCGGAGGGUUUUUUAGCUUCCAGUAGCUGCAGUGACCGGGACCGGAAGGGAAAUUGGGUCUUUGAAGACCUUAUGAUGUUGGCAGAAAUGGUCCUAAGCGACCCGUCUUGAAACACGGACCAAGGAGUCUAAUAUCUAUGCGAGUGUUUGGGUGGAAAACCCAUACGCAGAAUGAAAGUGAAUUAAAGGUGGGAGCCUUUUUGGGUGCACCAUCGACCGGUUCUCUUAUGAGGACUGAGUAAGAGCAUAGCUAUUGGGACCCGAAAGAUGGUGAACUAUGCCUGAAUAGGGUGAAGCCAGAGGAAACUCUGGUGGAGGCUCGCAGCGGUUCUGACGUGCAAAUCGAUCGUCAAAUUUGGGCAUAGGGGCGAAAGACUAAUCGAACCAUCUAGUAGCUGGUUCCUGCCGAAGUUUCCCUCAGGAUAGCAGAAACUCGUCAGUUUUAUGAGGUAAAGCGAAUGAUUAGAGGACUUGGGGUUGAAACAACCUUAACCUAUUCUCAAACUUUAAAUAUGUAAGAAGCCUUUGUUGCUUAAUUGAACACGGGCGUUCGAAUGAGAGUUUCUAGUGGGCCAUUUUUGGUAAGCAGAACUGGCGAUGCGGGAUGAGCCGAACGCGAGGUUAAGGUGCCGGAAUACACGCUCAUCAGAUACCAGAAAAGGUGUAGUUCAUCUAGACAGUAGGACGGUGGCCGAUGGAAGUCGGAAUCC
rfam:Pneumocystis jirovecii, SE8, WGS project CAKM01000000 data, contig: 285